rnacentral:rRNA from 1 species
GUGGGGGAUAUUGCACAAUGGGGGAAACCCUGAUGCAGCAACGCCGCGUGAAGGAUGAAGGUUUUCGGAUUGUAAACUUCUGUUCUUAGUGACGAUAAUGACGGUAGCUAAGAAGAAAGCUCCGGCUAACUACGUGCCAGCAGCCGCGGUAAUACGUAGGGAGCGAGCGUUGUCCGGAUUUACUGGGUGUAAAGGGUGCGUAGGCGGCAGAGCAAGUCAGGCGUGAAAGCCAUGGGCUUAACCCAUGAACUGCGCUUGAAACUGUUUUGCUUGAGUGAAGUAGAGGCAGGCGGAAUUCCCGGUGUAGCGGUGAAAUGCGUAGAGAUCGGGAGGAACACCAGUGGCGAAGGCGGCCUGCUGGGCUUUAACUGACGCUGAGGCACGAAAGCAUGGGUAGCAAACAGGAUUAGAAACCCUAGUAGUCC